GGUGUGCUCAAAAUGCAGAUUUUGCAUCUUAGAUUUCAAAAUUUUUUUGGGGGGGGGCAUGCCCCCAAACCCCCCUAGCUGGUUCAGGUCGCUUUGCGACCCUCACCGGUGUCGGACUAGUGGAAAUUAUUCAGGACUAGUAAAUUUAAAUAAUUCCUAGUCCUGUGGACUAGUACCCUCAAAAGUUUUUGGUGCAGACUGU
rnacentral:lncRNA from 1 species